UGGGAAGUUGACGAACAAGACUACACAAAAACGACAAAUAUAACGUAAUAAACAAAUUUGUGGUUGUGCAAACCAAAGAAAUGUUGUCGGUUUAAGUGUUGUAAACGACGAGUAUCGUUAAUUUUCUGUUCAUUAACAAAAAAGGUCUCAUUUUAUCGCCGAUGUAUUUGAAUGCGUUGAUAAAAAAUGAAGAUUGUCAACAUGAGUGAUGGAAACAGAACAAGAAAUGGAAUUUAUGACUUUGAAGAAACCUGUUCAAAAGCAUAUAAGUAAAGUUGAGCAAUGAAGAGCAACUACAUAAAGUAGUACACAAAAAGAAAGGAAAAGAUUGAUUCAAAAGACAAUUGAAUAAAGACUUUCUUACAGAGAAAAAUAAGGAAAUCUUUUUUCAUUUGUUCUUUGAGCUUUCUUUUUAUGCAGAAAAAGAUCAAGAAAAUGAGGUAUGUGUUCUUUGGUUUGUGUAGCCCUUUCUCUUUGUUUUUUAGGUUUUCUUUCAAAAUCAGAAGAUGAUCGAAAGAAGACCUUGGUGAGUAUUCCUUUGGUAUUUGUUAUCUUUUUACAAUUUCUUUGACGUUUUCUUUUAGAUGCAGAGCAAAAUACGGAAAACUGAGGUAUGUGUUUCACUGUUAUUGUAUAUCUUUUUGCUUGUUCUUCAGGCUCAUAGAUCCAGAAAAAGAUAAAAGACUGAGGUAUGUAUUUCUCUGUUUACGCCCUUUCUCCAUGUUUAGGCUUUUCAUUCAAAUUCAGGAGAGAAGACCUUUGAAAGCAUUGUUUGUUUUUUUGUAAUUCUUCUCAAUUUUAAAGGUUUUCUUUUAGAUGCUGUAAUAUUAAGAUAAGGAAAACUGACGUAUGUGUUUCGUUGUUUGUUUGGCUCUUUUUGUUUGUUUAUUUGGCUUUUCAUAUAAAUUCAGAGAACGAUCAAGCAAACUGAGUUUGUUUCACGGCUUUUGUGGCUCUUUUCAUUAGUUCUUUUGGCUAUUCUUGUAAAGAACAGAAACGUUAAGGAGACUGACGUAUCAUCACUUAGUCGUGUGGCCCUUUUUCUUUGUUCUUUCGGCUUUUCUUUAAGCUCAGAAGGCGAUUGAGUAAAAACUUUUGUAAGUAUGACUUUUAUUUUUGUAAUUCUUUUUAAUAUUUCUUCGACGUUUUUUUAGAAGCUGAGAUAGAUGAAGAAAUCUGAGGUAUGCGUUUAAUUUCUUUUCGCAUGGCCCUUUCGCCUUGUUCUUUAGACUUUUCUUUAGAUUCAGAAGGUGAUUGGGUAAAGACCUUGAUGUAGAGAAAGAUCUAAGGAAAUCUGAGGUUUUCUGUUUCAUUGAUAAUGCAGUGAAGGAUGAAGACAACUGAGGUAUAUGUGUUUCAUUGCUUAUUUGCUUUUUGUUGUUGACUUAUGUAGCUAUGUGUUUGUCUGUUUUUGUGGCUGUUUUCCUUGUUAUUUAGCUUUUCUUUCAGGUUCAGAUGAACAAUUAUUUGAAGCUUUUGGUAAUUUUUUUUUUUUUGUAAUUCCUCUGACUACUUUUUUUUAGCCAUUUCUUUUAAACGCAAAGAAAGAUGAAGAAGACUGAUAUUACUUUUCCACAUUUGAUAGAAACGUAUCUUUCAAGUAGAAGUUUAAUGGAAACUCUGUGAAUGCAUUUACUAAAAGCACAAAGUGGAGAUUAUAGAGUUUCACCAAAAAUGCUUUUCUAUACAAGAAGCUAAAACAAUUGUAUCUGAAUUAGCGUAAAAUAAACAUUUGUGUGUAGUAAAUGUUUUUAUUGUUUUUUUGGACAGGUUGGUGGCGAAACAAUUGUUUCAUUGUACCAAAGAAGUUAUGAUCUCAAAAUUGUCUGUGGUGAGGACAAGAGGGGCGUCACAUGCCCUUUGCAAGCCAUACUAUCCGACAAAAAUGAAUGAUCAACGUGUGAGACAAUUCUAUAUCGCUGUAUCGCUAAAAGAACUUUGUGAAGCCAUAAUCUUAUUGCACAGAUGAAAACUUUAAUUAUAAACUCUGCUGUAGAAGAUAGGCGGGGUUACAUAAAUUCAGAUUUGAAAUGUGAAUGUAAUUUUCUAUGUAUAAUCUGUGAUAAAAUUUUAAACAAGUAACUAUAUAAGUAAACAAGA